UUCUGCUUCUAUUGAGAAAUACAACGCAAUCUUGAGUAGUAAGUAUUAAUCUGUAAGAAUUUAUUAAGUGUGUGUGAAUGCUCGUUGGAUGAUAAUAAUGUUUAACUUAUAUUCUUUAGAACCCACGAGUGACGAGCUGGAUGGUAUCGUUUUAACACAGUCUGACUACGGCCUCCUUUGACGAACAGAGCAUGAAGGCUCCUCUUCCUCGUUGACCUGGAGGUCCUCUGUUUCCUUUUCAGAUGUUUCCAUACUGACGACAGGGCGAUAUAGUUGACCAUCGGAUCCAAGAAGACCUUGGUUGGAGCCGUGGAACUGGAACCUUGGUGUUGAGCGUGGGAUGAGCUUCUUCUCAGCUUGUAAUGAAGCUUUUCUCAGCUUGGGUCAAGCUCUUACUGUAGCGUUCCGGUCGAAAUGAUGGUCUCUCAAACUGAUGUUUCACAAUCCUUUUAUUGUGCGGCCUUUCUUGUGAACACACCGUAAGAGCUAUAAACAUACAAAAUAAAUAUACUAUUAAUAACUUAA